GUGUCCUCACUUGUCCACUUCUGCCUGCCCUGCCUGAAUGGUGCAGCAGAUUCAAGGGUCAGGGCAGGCAGAAAAGGACAAGUGAGGCCAU
ensembl:miRNA